UAAUGAGAUUGCCUGGCUCGGGGCGGCACGGCCCUGGUGACGUUCGCGCGUCACUUGCGGCCCGCAUCCUUGACCUAGACCAAACGAUCAAAGUGAGCUCGUACUCGAUGGUUUUGCAUGGAAUCGUGGAACGGGGCCGGCGUUCUGUACUUCGAGAGCGCUGGCGACGAUCAACGGGAGCGACCAGGGGUGAGGGAACUGAAGGGCGAGGGGUAAAAUCUGAUGA
rnacentral:rRNA from 1 species